GGAGCGAGCCAGACCGUCGCUGGUACAUCGGCCGAAAGGCUGUACUGGAGGAAGGUCCGGACUGCACAGGGCAGCGCAGCAGGUAACACCUGCCCGUCGAGAGCCGCAAGGUUCGAGGCGAGGAUCAGAGCAACAGAGACGAGCCGAUUCAGUUCGGGUGAAACGGGCAAUCUCUGCGUGCAGCAACAUCAAGUAGGCGGACGUCGACCUGGCCCGGGGAGUCCGCGGGUAGAUGGCAUCGAGCCGUGCUGGCGACAGCCGGCCCAGACGAAUGACGGUCACGGCGCGCAGGCCCGCAAGGGCAGGCGCGACGCACAGAAUCCGGCCUAUCGGCUCGCUUCACAA
rnacentral:RNase_P_RNA from 1 species